GUGAAUCAUCGAAUUUUUGAACGCAAAUUGCACUCUCUUCGGAGAGUAUGCCUGUUUGAGGGUCAGUAUUAGUAUAAAUCGGAGUGUUGCUUCUUUUUGACGCUCCGGAGUUUGUGUCAUCUUAAUAUCCUUUAGGUUUUAAGUGGCUUAAAAUUGACUUUUUUUCUCAUUUUUGAUGUACAUAAAUUCUUUUUUUUUUUCGUUUGUCUUAAUGCCUAAUAUCCUAUUAGAUGCGACCAUAUCGUGGGGUUUCGUGUCUAUUAAUUUUUCAUGAUUU
rnacentral:misc_RNA from 1 species